GCAGGAUAUGGUGGCACAUACCUGUAUUCCCUGCUACUUUGGAGGCUGAGGAAGGAGGAUUGCUUGAGUCCAGGAGUUCAGGGCCAACCUAGGCAGCAUAGUGAGACCCUGCCUCAA
rnacentral:sRNA from 1 species